GCAGCAGAAAGCAUGACUCCUUCCUCAGCUCUGCAGAGGAGGGCAGGCUAGGGUUGGUGUUAAGAGUAAUGGAAAAGGGAAGCAACGUGAGAUCUGAGCAAGUGUCUAAGAGUACUGUUGUAGGAGCAGUCUCAUCUAAGCUGUCAUCUUCCUUUACCCCUGGACUACAUGAAAGCAGCCCUCAUUAAAUUAGCUCUGGACAUUCAAAAUUACCGAUUUGUCUUUUAAAAAAGGAACAUACUUAGAGUAAUAGAUAAUUUCAUUUGGAAAAGACCUCUGAGAUCAUUGAGUCCAGCUGUUAACCCAGAAGGGCAAGUCCACCACCUGAACCACAGUUCCAAGUGCCACAUCUACAAGGUCCCAAACACUUCCCUGGACAGCCUGUUCCAAUGCCUGACA